UGGUGAUUAUAGAGCGGGGGGUACACCUGAUCCCUUUCCGAACUCAGAAGUUAAGUCCCGCAUCGCCGAUGGUACUGCACACGAGAGUGUGGGAGAGCAGGGUGUCGCCAACAUU
rnacentral:rRNA from 1 species